rnacentral:lncRNA from 1 species
UCAUUCAUUACCCUGCCAAACUGCAAGGUAAACCUUGACCUUUAAUCCUUCCAUCUAUCCAUGAUUUCUCCCGCAUUCAUUGAGAAGAACUAACAAUUGUGAUUAUUUAUUAUCUCAGUUUAUUCAAUACCAUAACAACAGCCAACCAACACAUUCUCAAGGUAUUUUAUGCUAUCUCAGUUCACUACUUUCAUAUACACAUUUUACACCCCAACAGAGCAUGCUUCAUGUAUUAAAGGUUCAGAAAUAUAGGAUUAAGCAUACUACAGAGGGACAUAGCAAACCAUAUGCGAAUACAUGAUUUAUGGCGUUUCACAGAAGUAGUAUGAUUCAUACAUUGAGAUAUUACCAUUGUACAUAAUAACCAAAGCCAUGAGAACUCCCAUCAUGUAGACAACAUAGAAUACGAAAUACAAUAGCAGGGGAUAGAACAAAAACUUAGCUUUUAGAAAAGAGGGGCGCUGCCCUGCUUAGUCCGGCCGAGAGAAGACGUCUGGGCGGUAACUCCGAGAACAGCAGCGUCGACGGCGUCGACCGGUGGAGGGCAGACGACUCCCGACCCCAGCGACGGCUCCUCGCCGAUUCUGGAGUAGCAGCAGCGGCUUGGUGCGCGGCAGCGGUAGAGUUUUAGGCGGAGCGACGCCAGCUUGAGGUGACAAUGUCGCGGAGAUUUCAGGGGCGGCGAAGACUAUUUUUGACUAAGGAACUCGGGUUUCUUCCCUUUUUCUUUUCACUCGACUUUGAAAGAAAGGUAGUCAGGUGAAGAGGGAGCAGUCGAGGAUCGGCGGCCUGAUGACCAGCGGCUGCCGCCGCGAGCGCAGCGGCGCGGCGAAGCCGGCCUUCCAGUUGCAGCGGCGGCGGUAUCCUUGUCUCCGGCAGAAAUUAAAGCUUCCUCUUCGUUCCUUCAAUAGAUUCGAGGGAGAGAAGGACGAUUGAAGCCGAGAGGAGAUGGGCGAAGGGAGCGUCCGAGUCAGGCAGAGCAACGACCAGCGACCGUUCGCCGUUCUUCCAUAGGUGGCGGCGACGGCGAUUUCUAAUUUGGGAGAGCUAGGGCUCGAUUAGGAAGGGGGAGAAUUAGGGCUCAAUUUCUGGGUGGCCUCCCCUAAAUCUCUCAGAGACAGCAGCAGGAGCUCAUGCCGGCGACGAGAAGGCGCCGGAGCCGGCUGGAGGCUGAGCGAGAGGAGGGAAGAGAGAGGGAGGCGCGACUGGUUUGAGGGGGAGAGAGAUAACCGAGAGUGAGAGAGUUGAGAUUUGGGUUCCCCUUUUACUUCNCACAUAUAGCGAAUGAUGAUUUAUGGCAUUUCACGGCAGUAGUAUGAUUCAUACAUUGAGAUAUUAUCACUGUACAUAGAACCAAAGCCAUGAGAACCCCCACCCCCUUAACAACUAGAAGCUGAAGUAGAAGGGAGUAGAACUUAGCUUUUAGAAAAGAGGGGCGCUGCCCUGCUUAGUCCGGCCGAGAGACGACGUCUGGGCGGUAACUCCGAGAACAGCAGCGUCGACGGCGUCGAUCGGUGGAGGGCAGACGACUCCCGACCCCAGCGACGGCUCAUCGCCGAUUCUGGAGUAGCAGCAGCGGCUCCGUGCGCGACAGCGGUAGAGUUUUAGGCGGAGCGACGCCGGCUUGAGGUUACAAUGUCGCGGAGAUUUUAGGGGCGGCGGAGACUAUUUCUGACUGAGGAACUCGGGUUUCUUCCCUUUUUCUUUUCACUCGACUUUGAAAGAAAGGUAGUGAGGUGAGGAGAGAGCAGUCGAGGAUUGGCGGCCUGAUGACCAGCGGCGGCCGCCGAGAGCGCAGCGGCGCGGCGAAGCCGGCCUUCCAGUGGCAGCGGCGGCGGUAUCCUUGUCUCCGGCAGAAAUUAAAGCUUCUUCUUCGUUCCUUCAAUAGAUUCGAGGGAGAGAAGGACGAUUGAAGCCGAGAGGAGAUGGGCGAAGGGAGCGUCCGAGUCAGGCAGAGCAACGACCAGCGACCGUUCGCCGUUUCUUCCAUAGGUGGCGGCGACGGCGAUUUCUAAUUUGGGAUAGCUAGGGCUCGUUUCGGAAGGGGGGAGAAUUAGGGCUCAAUUUUUGGGUGGCCUCCCCUAAAUCUCUCAGAGACAGCAGCAGGAGCUCGUGCCGGCGACGAGAAGGCGCCGGAGCCAGCUGGAGGCUGAGCGAGAGGAGGGAAGAGAGAGGGAGGCGCGACUGGUUUUAGAGGGAGAGAGAUAACCGAGAGUGAGAGAGUUGAGAAUUGGGUUCCCCUUUUAAUUCAUAAAUUGGGCCGAUUUUAAAUGCUGAUUGGGCCUCUGAUUUUAUUUAUCUGGGCCUUUGAUUAUUCAUUUUUUUGGGGGGGCUGCUGUAUCAUGCCAGUUGGGCUGAUUUUUAUUUAAUUUUAAGUCCAGAAUAAAUCAUUCUAUUCUUGGGCUAAGAGAUAAAACUAUGAGCUUGAAUUUUAUGUAGUUAGACCCCGUAUUAUUUAUUUAAUUGAACCCUACUACUUACUUGCUUAAUCAUUUGGGCUCAAGAUAAUUAUCAUAUUACUCGGACCUCUUCAUUAUUAUUUUAGCCCAAUUGCAUUACUUUAACCCGAGCACUCCUAAUUAAUUAUUAGGAUGUAUUAUGUUGAGCCUUUUAAUUAUUUGACUUAUAUUAUUACUUCAAUUCAUAUUUGUUUAGCCCGGUUAAUUAGACGCAACUACCCAAUUACGAUUAAUUUUUACGAGGUUAUCUUAUCAAGCGGAUGUUCGAUUUAGCUACUUUCUUUAUCGAUUAAAUAGGGCGACUUCUAUUUAUUAUCAAGUGGGUUAAAACACUCUAAGAUGAGCAGAUUAAUUAUAGUUAUGAUUCGAUUUCAUGAAGCGAGACUUAGUUAGUUUUCUUAAUCCAAUAGCCUGUUUAUCAUUAAAACUCUCGGGUUAUGAUAAUUCAUGCAUAAGAGAUUCAUGCAUAGUUACUCACGCAUCCUCAUUAUUUGAGAAUUUUUUGCUCGAGCAAAUAUCUUAUUUAAAUUCUCGCAAUAAAGGUCAAGUGCGAGAGUAAUACCUAGACGAGAGCUACUGCACCACAACUAGAGCUAUAAUCAGGUGGGCUUACUUUCCAAAUGUAUGAUUGAGUUAUUAAGCUCUAAAUAUUUCAUGAAAUGAAAACUGUUUAUCCAAUAAAUAUUUUUGUGCGCUCUGUUAUGUUUAAGGCUCGCAAUUCAUGGAUCGAUCGAGGUUCUCUUAUGGCCUAACACGUUAUUUGAGAAUUGUGUACACUUGUUAGUUGUUUCGGUGGGUUGAUCUCCAUCGGGCACUAAUUCAUGCAAGAGGCGUUAUAAGGGUGCUUGGCUGGAUGUGUUCCGGAGCAUGUAUCAUGUAAGGCCUGCCUGGGUAGCGUCCCGAGGUCAAUUCAACUUGUCUGAGUUACGUCCUCAGGGCAAGUGUCAUGGGAAUGAGGGAUCCGUCGGUGGCUAAAAGGUCCGGGAUCACAGCGAGUAACAGAACAGAGUGUGACAAUAGCGCGCUAAUAAAAUGAAAUGCUUUAACAUGCUUAGAAGUUCUUUUUGUUUUAAAACCUUCUAAGUUAUGUCAUGAAUGAUUGGAUAAACUGCUCUUACGGAUUUGUGAAAUGUUUUAAAAGUUGCAGCCCACUAGGUACAUUAGUACUUAGCCCAAAUAUUUUUAAAUAUUUUUCAGGUUGAUGGCUGGUGUUGACGGGGAGAGCUGAGGCUAGGAUUCAACUCCGUGUUUUGACUUCCGCUGUUGUGCUAGCCUUUAUCUGUCUUUCGUUCUCUUGACUUAAGACCCUUAUGUUAUGACUCUAAACGAUAUCUUUUGUUGAGCUUAGAGUUUUAACUCUCAAGUAUUUUGAUUAAGGAAUGUUGGUUAUCUGAAGCAUGAAACUAAACUUAUGUGAUCCUGAGUUUGAAUAUUGUCAUUUGAUUGGCAACUCUUAAGGCCUUUCAAUUUACCUCCUUUCAUUUUAUCUCUUUGGAAUAUGAAUACCCAAUUUAAUGGGUAGAUUGUCAAGUUUAUUCUGGUUGAUUAAGACUUUCCAUUAUUUUUCCUAUUUCCUUUUGCCUUGGGAAGUCGGGCUGUUACAAGUGGUAUCAGAGCAUAAGUUUUCUUUCAUGUCUCUGAUAACUGAAAGCUUCUAAUGUUGAGUCUAGAAUAGUACCUCUAGACUUCUAAGAAAAGUUGUUGAACCUCAGUUCGCCGUCACACUGCCGCAACUAAGGUAUGCUUUAAAAGUUCAAAAGUUUUAAAUGCUUUCAAUGUUUUUAAGAAGUGCGCGCUUUCAAUGAAUGAUGUUAUAUGGAUUGCUUAUCGCUUCCAUAUUGUUAUUUUGAGUCUCCGGCUCAUAUAACCAAUGUAUCUAUGUAUGUCGUGUUUGGGACUACCCGAGCCCUUAACGAAUCAAUGAAUUAAUGAUCGAGUUAGAUUUCCUAAAUCUUUCCGACUUGAGAAAAGUUUUCAUGAAAGGGACAUGCACUGUCCAAAUUGUUUUUAAGGUUCAAAAGAACAAAUGAUUGAAUGAAUGAAAGGUUUUAUGUUAUCGUUUUAGGUUCAUCGCCUAUACGACUUGAAUGAUAAGUCCUCUUACAAACCGUUUGAGUACUACCCAAGGAUACUUUAGAAAUGUUAGUCGUGAUAGCCCCGCUUGAUCGAUUUAAGUAAGGUAUGAAAAGAUAGCAACGUUCAACAUAGAUAUGUUACAACGUAGAAGCAAUGUCAUGAGAUCAAGGAUCCACUUAAGUUAAGAUUAGUUUCCACAUAGAACUAGUCUUUCACAUGGUUACACCAUAGAAGCGAUAUGUAUGUAUGUAUGUAGAAUGAGUCUCACUGUUGUGUUAAUAUCGUUCGUAAACCGGAAUGGAAGACGCACCAAGAGGACGCGGUAGGGGACGAGGAUGUGGUCGUGGUCGCGGACGCGGCAUGGGAUUCGUCCCUGAAGAGCCAAUCCAACAAGUAGCACCAAAUCGUACUGCUGAAGAGAAGUUUCGUAAGGAAAAACCUCCAACGUUUGACGGGCUGGGUGAUCCAACAGACGCCGAAAAAUGGAUUAGGGCCAUAGAGCGUAUCUUUAACUACAUUCGUUGCGACGACGAAGACAAAGUAACUUGUGCAACCUACCAACUGGUGGACGAAGCCGACUUCUGGUGGGAAUCAGUGAGACGCACAAUGACUGAUGACCAGUGGGAAGACUUCACUUGGGAAGAUUUUAAGACUGUGUUGUAUGAGAAGUACAUACCAGGAUGCUAUAGACAGAAGAAGCAGAACGAGUUCUGGAAUCUGAAACAGAAAGCUGGGACAGUUACGGAGUACGAUAGAGCCUUCAAUCAGCUAUCAAGAUAUGCUCCGAUGCUUGUGGACACUGAUGAGAAGCGCGCAGAAAAAUUCAGAAAUGGAUUGCGCCAUGAGAUAGCGAUUUCUUUAGCAAGCCAAGGAGGUCUUACGUAUGCACAAACACUGAGCAGAGCCCUCACCAUUGAAUCAUUGCUACCAAAGGAAAAAGGAAAAACUCCCGAACAAUCUGGAAUUGUACCAUCUCAGGAUAGUGGUAAAGGAAAAAGAAAAUGGAACGAGGGAACUGGUGGAAACCCUGGGAAUGGAAAUGGAAAGAAACCAUGGGCGGCAAAUCAAAAUAAAAAUCAGCACCAGAACCAACAGCCGCAAGCUAUAGCUCCACCACCUUGUCCAAACUGUCGGAAACCCCAUUUAGGGAAAUGCAUGAAAGGAAGGAAUGUUUGUUAUUACUGCGGGGAACCUGGGCAUUUUGCUUUAGCAUGCCCAAAGAAAAGAGGAGCACCCCAACAACAAAAUAUCGAAAACCAACAACGACAGAACCAAGGUCCUGGAGGAUACCAAGGACAACCACGAAAUGCUAGGGCCUAUGCCCUUAACCAACACCAAGCAGCAGGAGAUCAGGAAAACCUAGCAGGUACGAUUAAUGUUUUCGACGUGUCGAUUAUAGCUUUGUUUGAUACUGGAGCAUCCCACUCUUUCAUCCCACCUGCUGCUAGUAAGAAACUAGAAUUGACGUUGCAAUCGUUCGAAACAACUUCAGAAGUUAGGAUAACUGAUGGUGGAAAACUGAACGCUAAGGGCGUUACUUGCGUGUUAUUUCUAUGAUAGAAAUCCUAGAAUUGAUAGACUUAAUCGAGUCAGAGCUACGAUACUUUGUAGAGAGAGAAGGAUCACACUCCAAUCACCAAGAAAAGAAAAGGCAAGUUCCACGACAUAAUGACAUACCAGAUUUUGAAGAAAAUUUCUGGUUUGAAGAACGAUGUCGCGUUGUUAGAAAGUUAAGGCCGUGUAUGAUUCAAUGCCGCGUAAGAGCUGAAUGGAAUGAAUGUCUAAUAUUCCAAACUAGAUGACCCAGAUAUGAAAUUUCGGGACGAAAUUUUUGUUAAGAGGGGUAGUAUGUAAUAACCCGCUCUUUUAAUUUAUUAAAACCAGUAAUGCAAUAAUUAAUUAUUGCAUCUUUUAGUAAUUAUCUAUGAUUUGACUUGAUUUCAACUUAUUUUAUAAUAUAUAUAUCAUUGGAAGUAGAGUUAUUAUUAUUAUUAUUAUUUUUUUUUAUGUCUGUUAGCUUCGCGUGAGAAAGAUAAGGAUUAUUGAGACAAUCAAUAAUCUUUAUUUUAGAUUUAUAACUGACUUAGUAAAGUCAAGUUAUUUAUUAGAAAUGUUAUUUCUAUUAUUAUUUUUUAAUUACUUUUAUAUUUUUACAUAAGUCGUGGAUGAUUUCCGACUUGUGAAGUUAAUUAAAUCUACGGAUUUAAUUUAGAUUUAUUCUAGCAAAGCAAGAAAUCAGAUAUCAAGCAGAUAUACAAAAAUGCGGUACAGAUUAGAAACGGUACUGUAUUACAGAUUAGAGUUUCCAACACUGAAGGAUUCUAUUAUUCACACCACAACCUUACAACCUAUCUAUUACAAGCCUAGCAUCUACCUAAGCAAUGAGAAUAUUGAGUACAAAUGAGCAGGAAAAAAAAAGGGGAAGGGGGAGAAAGAGAAUGUGGGCUGUUCCAGCAGCCACUGCUGCACUCAUUUCUCCUACUACAAGCUACAAGCUACAACCGCACCCCCUCCUAUCCCUACACCCUCCCAUUUCCCUAUGCUAGCCGCCCACCCCAUCCAAUCCAGCCCCAUACUCCAGCCACCCUAUCUUUGCACUUCUUCCAUAGCAUACUCAAGUUGCAGCUGAAACUUCUUCCUCUACUAGUUGUUAACUUCAGCCAACAAAUACAACACUCACUCUCAGUUGUUUUCACCAAGAAUUAUCGAAGAUCAGUCCCUAUCUUGUUCCUGCCAAGUUCUCAAGGUAAGCUUGCCUUAAUGUUCCCACCUUUCUCCAUGAUUUCACCUGCAUUUAUUGAAGAACAACAACUACAAAUUAUUUCAGCCAUUCCAGUUAACACCUCAACAGUUGAAGAAAUAAGAGAGAGAUCAUUCAUUCAUUACCCUGCCAAACUGCAAGGUAAACCUUGCCUUUAAUCCUUCCAUCUAUCCAUGAUUUCUCCCGCAUUCAUUGAGAAGAACUAACAAUUGUGAUUAUUUAUUAUCUCAGUUUAUUCAAUACCAUAGCAACAGCCAACCAACACAUUCUCAAGGUAUUUUAUGCUAUCUCAGUUCACUACUUUCAUAUACACAUUUUACACCCCAACAGAGCAUGCUUCAUGUAUUAAAGGUUCAGAAAUAUAGGAUUAAGCAUACUACAGAGGGACAUAGCAAACCAUAUGCGAAUACAUGAUUUAUGGCGUUUCACAGAAGUAGUAUGAUUCAUACAUUGAGAUAUUACCA